rnacentral:ncRNA from 1 species
ACAAGAGGACGACCUCCCCAGAAUGGGAAGAAUCGCCGGGACGGCCCGG